UUAUUGCGUGAGGGAUAGUAAUGAAAAGCCCGCAGCAAGCGGCGGAAAUGCUGCUGAGUGAGGACUUGUAAUGGAUAGCCCGACCCGAA
rnacentral:misc_RNA from 1 species